GACGAACGCUGGCGGCGUGCUUAACACAUGCAAGUCGAACGGAAAGGCCCUGCUUUUGUGGGGUGCUCGAGUGGCGAACGGGUGAGUAACACGUGAGUAACCUGCCCUUGACUUUGGGAUAACUUCAGGAAACUGGGGCUAAUACCGGAUAGGAGCUCCUGCUGCAUGGUGGGGGUUGGAAAGUUUCGGCGGUUGGGGCUGGACUCGCGGCGUAUCAGCUCGUUGGUGGGGUAGUGGCUUACCAAGGCUUUGACGGGUGGCCGGCCUGAGAGGGUGUCCGGUCCCGUUGGGACUGCGAUGCGGCCCAGACUCCUACGGGAGGCAGCAGUGGGGGCUAUUGUGCAGUGGGCGGAAGCCUGGUGCAGCGACGCCGCGUGCGGGAUGACGGCCUUCGGGUUGUAAACCGCUUUCGCCUGUGACGAAGCGUGAGUGAUGGUAGUGGGUAAAGAAGCACCGGCUAACUACGUG
rnacentral:rRNA from 1 species